GCAUGCCUAACACAUGCAAGUCGAGCGCACUCUUCGGAGUGAGCGGCGGACGGGUGAGUAACGCGUAGGAAUCUACCCAGUAGCGGGGGAUAGCCCGGAGAAAUCCGGAUUAAUACCGCAUACGCCCUAAGGGGGAAAGGCCGGGAUCUAUUUAUAGACCGGUCGCUAUUGGAUGAGCCUGCGUAAGAUUAGCUAGUUGGUAGGGUAAAGGCCUACCAAGGCGACGAUCUGUAGCUGGUCUGAGAGGAUGAUC
rnacentral:rRNA from 1 species